AUUGAACGCUGGCGGCAGGCCUAACACAUGCAAGUCGAGCGGAAGCAGGGUGCUUGCUCCUGGAUUCAGCGGCCGACGGGUGAGUAAUGCCUAGGAAUCUGCCUGGUAGUGGGGGAUAACGUGCGGAAACGGGCGCUAAUACCGCAUAAGUCCUUAGGGAGAAAGUGGGGGAUCUUCGGACCUCACGCUAUCAGAUGAGCCUAGGUCGGAUUAGCUAGUUGGUGGGGUAAAGGCCUACCAAGGCGACGAUCCGUAACUGGUCUGAGAGGAUGAUCAGUCACACUGGAACUGAGACACGGUCCAGACUCCUACGGGAGGCAGCAGUGGGGAAUAUUGGACAAUGGGCGAAAGCCUGAUCCAGCCAUGCCGCGUGGGUGAAGAAGGUCUUCGGAUUGUAAAGCACUUUUGGUUGGGAAGAAGAGCAGUAAGUUAAUACCUCGCUGUUUUGACGGUACCAACAGAAUAAGCACCGGCUAACUUCGUG
rnacentral:rRNA from 1 species